rnacentral:tRNA from 1 species
AGGAUAAUAGUUAACAAAUAACAUUUAAUUUGCAUUUAAAAAUUAUUAGCCAAGCUAAUUUAUCUUA